GUAACACGUAGGCAACCUGCCCAUCAGACUGGGAUAACCACGGGAAACCGUGGCUAAUACCGGAUAAUCCUUUUCCACACAGGUGGAAAAGUUGAAAGGCGGCUUCGGCUGUCACUGAUGGAUGGGCCUGCGGCGCAUUAGCUGGUUGGUGGGGUAACGGCCCACCAAGGCGACGAUGCGUAGCCGACCUGAGAGGGUGAUCGGCCACACUGGGACUGAGACACGGCCCAGACUCCUACGGGAGGCAGCAGUAGGGAAUCUUCCGCAAUGGACGAAAGUCUGACGGAGCAACGCCGCGUGAGUGAAGAAGGGUUUCGGCUCGUAAAACUCUGUUGUCAGGGAAGAACGCCGACGGGAGUAACUGCCCGUCGGGUGACGGUA
rnacentral:rRNA from 1 species